rnacentral:rRNA from 1 species
GAUGAACGCUAGCGGCAGGCCUAACACAUGCAAGUCGAGGGGCAGCACAUAAAGUGGUUUACUACGUUUGGUGGCGACCGGCGGACGGGUGCGUAACGCGUAUGCAACCUGCCUCCAACAGGGGGAUAACGGAGAGAAAUUUCCACUAAUACCCCAUAAUAUCAGAAUCGGCAUCGGAUUUGGUUGAAAACUCCGGAGGGUGGAGAUGGGCAUGCGUUGUAUUAGAUAGUUGGUGAGGUAACGGCUCACCAAGUCAACGAUACAUAGGGGGACUGAGAGGUUAGCCCCCCACGCUGGUACUGAGACACGGACCAGACUCCUACUGGAGGCAGCAGUGAGGAAUAUUGGUCAAUGGGGGCAACCCUGAACCAGCCAUGCCGCGUGCAGGAAGACGGCUCUAUGAGUUGUAAACUGCUUUUACAAGGGGAUAAAUCGGUGUACGUGUACACCGUUGAGGGUACCUUGGGAAUAAGGAUCGGCUAACUCCGUGCCAGCCGCCGCGGUAA